rnacentral:rRNA from 1 species
CCAGUAGUCAUAUGCUUCGUUCAAGGACUAAGCCAUGCACGUGUCAGAGUACACGGCUUGAACAGUGGGUCUGUGAAUGGCUCCUUACAUCAGCAGUCAUCUCUGUGAUAGAGUGCGGAUGGCCCCGCUUUGCCAGGAUUGGCCCGAUUGGAUAUCCUCCAAAACCUAGUGGCUAAUACACGGUCGCCCAAGUCUGCUACAACAGGGUUUCGCCGGGCGUAAAAGCCUGUCCCAACCCGCAGUGGAUUGCUCCCAGCUGUAUACGAAGACCCGCGCCUGUGAAUGGCAGUGUGUAUGGUUGACUCAGGCUGGUCCGUAUGGACAACCGUGCUGGCAGAGUGGUGGCUUAUGCCACAGCAUUGCUUGAUCACACAGAACUUCUGACCUAUCAGCCUCGAUGGUGGUGCAGGGGACCACCAUGGCAGUGACGGGUAACGGAGAAUCAGGGUUCGAUUCCGGAGAGGGAGCCUGAGAGACGGCUACCACUGCUAAGGCGGGCAGCAGGCACGCAAAUUGCCCCAUGCUGAUGCAUUUCUGGUGAGGCAGCGACGAACUGCAGCAAUCCCACCUGUCCUCUGUGAUCGGUGGGACUUGUAAUGGAUGCAAUCCAAACACAGUGAUGAGUAUCGACUGGAGGGCAAGUCUGGUGCCAGCAGCUGCGGUAAUUCCAGCUCCAAGGGCGUAUACUAACAUUGCUGUUGUUAAAACACUUGUAGUCCGAUGCUGGGUUGCAGGUCUGCUGGGUGGCAGCUUGGGUCCACGGCUAACCCUGUGUCUUCGGGCAUGGGGCCGAAGGGCUCUCGCUGGUACAACCCUCAGCAGUAUGUUCCUGCACCCGUUCUCACGGCGGUGCGAAUGGCUCCUGCUCCAAGUCUCCUUCAGUGGGGAUCGAUGCGGUUGUAUACCCCAACGCUUGUGUGUUGACGUCACGGGGAGCAGAGCCCCAAGUGCUAUGCAGAGUCCUCAGUCCACCACCGGAGUCCACUGCCUCAGACACCGUGGAAAACUCAGUGUGCCCAAAGCGUCCAUCUCGGCUGGAUGACCGUCCAUGGAAUGUCAAAGUAUCGACCGGAUAUGGCUUCGGAGUUGUGCUGGCCUUGGUGCCAAUCCUGGGGAACGUGGCUCCGUCCACAGUGGCUCGGAGGUAUUGCUGCCGUUUGGCUGGCGGUGCCCACCCGGGUCUCUGGCGGGCUGGGUCGAUCGUCCACGAUGGGACUGCUCGGGGUGAAAGAUAUUGCAACGCCAGAGGUGAAAUUCUUAGACCGCUGCAAGAUCCACUGCAGCGAAGGCGUUCUGCAAGUACCAGUUCGUCGAUCAAGAAUGUGAGUGUGGGGAGCGAAGAUGAUCAGACACCGUCGUAGUCCACAACUGUAAACCAUGCCAGCUCGGUCAUGGCGCGGCAAGUACACGGACCGCGUCAGGGCCAUACCCCCUACAACGAGAAAUCCAAGCCCAUGGGUUCAAGGGGGAGUACUGUCGCAAGGCUGAAACUUAAAGGAAUUGACGGAAUGGCACCACAAGGCGUGGAGUAUGCGGCUUAAUUUGACUCAACACGGGGAAUGUUACCAGGUCCGGACGUUGCUGGGAUGGACAGAUUGAGAGCUCUUUCUUGAUCCUUCGGAUGGUGGUGCAUGGCCGCUCCUGAUUGGUGGAGUGAUUUGUCUGGUUGAUUCCGAUAACGAGUGAGACAUCUGCCUCCCAAUAGCCCUGGCCUCGCAUUUGUAGGGUGGUCGCUGCGCUCUCCGUGGGGGUUCGCCCCCUCGGGGUCGUGACGGUCCGCCCGAGAGGUUACGGAUCAGCUUCUCUGAGGUGCUGUGUACGCUGCCAAGUGCAUGCAUGCUAGAGCCAACAGCAGGUCUGUGAUGCUCCCAGAUGUCCUGGGCCGCACGCGCACUACAUUGGCUUGGUGAAUAUGUGAAGCCUCGCUCGUCGAGACCUGACCGGAAGUGGUUGGGAAACCCUUGGAGCCUAUGUGAACAGCCGUACUGGGGAUAGAUGAUUGCAACUGUCCGCCUUGAACGAGGAAUGCCUAGUAAGCGCGGGUCAUCAGCCCGCACUGAUUGUGUCCCUGCCAUUUGUACACACCGCCCGUCGUUGCUACCGAUGGCUGUGGGAUAGAGCCCUCGGGAGGUUUGGGGCCGCCUGGCCUUGGACCGAAAUUGACGAUGUCCCACUGCUAGAGGAAGCAAAAGUC